UGUGUAGGCGGUUGGAUAAGAGUGGUGUGAAAUCUCCCGGCUUAACUGGGAGGGUGCGCUACAGACUGUCUGACUAGAGUGUGGGAUGGGAGAGUGGAAUUCCUGGUGUAGCGGUGAAAUGCGUAGAUAUCAGGAGGAACACCGGUGGUGUAGACGGCUCUCUGGACCGUAACUGACGCUGAGACACGAAAGCGUGGGUAGCAAACA
rnacentral:rRNA from 1 species